rnacentral:tRNA from 1 species
GGUGGCUCAGUUGUAGAGCACUUGCCUUGCAUGCAUGAGGCCCUGGGUUCAAUUCCUCAGCACCA